GCCCCGAGCAAGACUUCCGCAUGUUCAUCAUUUUUCUCUCAGCUGUAUAAGAUUUAAUAUUUUUGACUGUGAAAUGAAAUGGAGAACUAACAUCAUUAUCGUCGACAGCACAGGUUAUAACAAAAAGAUCCACGGCUUUCACUGCUUAUGUCAGAGGACCGGUCACUACCCACGACUUUCACUGCUUAUGACAGAGGACCGGUCACUACCCACGACUUUCACUGCUUAUGACAGAGGAGCGGUCACUACCCACGACUUUCACUGCUUAUGACAGAGGACCGGUCACUACCCACGACUUUCACUGCUUAUGACAGAGGACCGGUCACUAUCCACGACUUUCACUGCUUAUGACAGAGGAACAGUCACUACCCUUGACUUUCACUGCUUAUGACAGAGGACCGGUCACUACCCACGACUUUCACUGCUUAUGACAGAGGACCGGUCACUACCCACGACUUUCACUGCUUAUGACAGAGGACCGGUCACUACCUAUGCAAACAUCUAUGGUUUGGCAUGGUGUCAGGAUCAAGACUGAAAUCCGGGCCAUUCCACUUGUGAAGCGAGUACCCUAACCACUACAGUAACCAACAAAAUGUGAGUACCCUAACCACUACAGUAACCAACAAAAUGUGAGUACCCUAACCACUACAGUAACCAACAAAAUUUGUAUUCAACAAGUCACAUAAAAACACAGAUAAUUUUAACUCUUUAAUCCCUUUUUUACAUGUAAUAGGAAGGGAGAAAAUGCAAUGGAACAGACCGGCAUUUGAACCCGGGCCCUCUGAAUCUCAGGUGCUCUGUCAACUGAGCUAUCUGGCCACAAGCAAUUGAAUCCAGUUGACUGCUACACACAGUUUAUCGAAAAGUGGACCUACUGCUUACAUUUAAAAAACCCACCAACAUGUAAAUAUCAAAUUUAUCAAAGUCCAAAGAGGAUUCAUUCUUAAUACUAUACACCAGUGUGUGUACGGCAUAGAAAUAAAAGGCAAUAAGACAAACAUAUGCAGAUUAUUUCUUUAUUAGCAAUGAUUUCAAUCCUCAUUCCAGGGUACAACUUCCUUUCGUCCUUAACAAAUUAGAUCUCUCCAACAAUAACUGUAUUUCAAUGUAUAAUGAAGCUGAAUAAAUAUAUAAUAUUAUAGAUAUUGACUUUGUUCUUAUGUUUCUUUAAAUGUUUAACAUAAAAUUUAUUAAAAAUUACAAAGAUUUAAGAUAUACACAUACCAUAAUGUUUUCAAAUUGACAAAAUAUCUCCCCUAUACAUACUACAACACAUUCAACCACCUGUUACAAAAUCAAUACUGUAUCUCCCAUAUAUAUAUAUAUAUAUACUACUAUAUAACACAUUCAAACGUAACAUCUAUUACAAAAUUAAUAUGGCAGAUAUGAGUAGAGAAUCUGUUCUGACUUUUAAUUUUCAAACCCUAUGACUUGAAGAAAAUGCUGACUAAGAAAAACAGUUACAAAAAUCCCUGAAAUGUGUAAAAUCUGAAUUACACAAUGUACAUAUUUUAAUGUCUUAAAGAGGCCUGCAAAUAUCCAGUGUUAGAUAUUUCUGACUCUAAGUACUGGACGCAUUAAAGGAUUUAUUCACAACCCCUACACGACAAUACAAAUUGAUAUAAUCUUUUAAUUAAAAAAAGCCCGCUCCCAACCCCC